UUACCAAAAAAAAAUAAACAAAACAAAAAACCAUUAAAAAAAAGCUUGGUAGGUUUGGUCCGAUCUAAAGUCAUGAGAACUGAGACAAAUGAAAUGACACGUGUAUGAUGUUGAAAGCUUCCAUGGAGACGUACAAGUCUCCGGAGGAGACAAUUUCUCCUCUGCGUUUCGACUUUCGACUCCUAUCUCUCUCUUUCUCGGAGAAGAAAGAGAUUCAUCAUCUUCUCUCACCAUUAAUCUUCUUCCUUGUCAAAGAUUUUCAAGGCCAUUCAUAAGAUUCCGGUGAAUUUUCCGAGAAACGAUGUCAAUCUUGUGCAACAAUGGCCGCAAAAGAGAUAAGAGAAGAGGAAGAAGAAAAGAGAAAGAAACAACGAUAGAAGAGAAUCAUCAAUGUUGUUGUUGUUGCGUGUGGCCUCCAUUUUCAAUGGUUAGAGGAUUAAAGAGAUGUUUCUUCAUCUCAUGUUAUCCAUUUAUUCGAUGUUUAGGAUUGGAAGAGAGAAGACAUCGUCAUCAUCUUCAUCACCACAACCAUUUUCUAUGAUUCCAUUAUGUGUAUUUGUGUAUAAAAUUACCAUAGGGAAUUUGAAAACAUUUCUUGAUUUCAGAGAAAACAUGUAAAAUAAUCAAAUAAGGAAUCAAGACAAUGAAAUGUUUCA